GUACCCCUUGGCUCUGUCACAUCAAUAAUUGAUGGCUUGAAGAAGCUAAACAUUGAAAAGUUGAAGCCCCUGGAAGUUACCUAUUGAUUUAAUGAUUUUGUUUCUCCUUUAUUGACAAGCAGUGAUUUCGACGCUAGGCCAAUGGUUAUGCUCUUGGGCCAGUACUCCACUGGAAAAAUAACAUUCAUUAAACAUUUGCUAAACUGUAGUUAUCCAGGAGCACACAUCGGACUGGAACCUACGACUAACAAAUUUGUUG